UACGUAGGGUGCAAGCGUUGUCCGGAAUUAUUGGGCGUAAAGAGCUCGUAGGCGGUUUGUCGCGUCUGCUGUGAAAACUCGGGGCUUAACUCCGGGCCUGCAGUGGGUACGGGCAGACUAGAGGUAUGCAGGGGAGAAUGGAAUUCCUGGUGUAGCGGUGAAAUGCGCAGAUAUCAGGAGGAACACCGGUGGCGAAGGCGGUUCUCUGGGCAUUACCUGACGCUGAGGAGCGAAAGUGUGGGGAGCGAAACAGG
rnacentral:rRNA from 1 species